GUCGGAGUGCGGGGGUCCCUCAGCCCAGAUUGUGACAGGGCGCAGGUCAGGUCGAGGGAACCCACCAGUGCACC
rnacentral:pre_miRNA from 1 species